ACCCUGGACGGGGGAUCACUCGGCUCGUCCGUCGAUGAAGAGCGCGGCCAGCCGCGAGAACUGAUGCGAAUUGCAGGACUCAGUGAACAUCGACACCUCGAACGCACAUUGCGGCUCCGAGAUCCCUUGUCUCGGGGCCCCGUCCGGUCGAGAGGCGGAAAAUUGCAUGUUUCCUCGUACUGCGAGAAACAUCUCACCGUCCCCGCGCGCCAGCCUGUCUACCUUCGCGCGGUGGAAACCGGGACGUCGCAGGGCCGCCUAGGACCUUCGUCUCCCGCUUUGCAGACCGCGGAGUCGCUCCCUUCACGACCGCGUGCAGAGCAAAGCGUCGCUGGUUUCGUCGUCGUACCCUUCGUUCGGCGUAUAAUAGCUCGGUCCCGCGCUCGAGUCACGAUGACACACGUCCAACUCCAUCCGUGACCGUCCGCUUAAGAGUGCCCAGCCCGUUUCGCUCUUUGGAUAACCACCUCGAGCGUCUCGGGCGACAGUGUGGGCCGAGCAACACGUUAUGCGCCAGCCUAUCAAACUUUGAACGAGGAACGUCGGCGAUCCCUAUGCGCUCGCUAACCAAUUUUCACUAACCGCCCUCGGCUCGGUCGAGACGACCCGCUGAACUUAAGCAUAUCGCUAAGCGGAGGAAAAGAAACCAACCGGGAUUCCCUUAGUAACGGCGAGUGAACCGGGAGAAGCCCAACGCCGAAUCCCGUCGCAAGUAAAAGGCUUCGGGACGUGUGGCGCACGGGUCGAAGACAGCCGUUCGCUUUGUCUCGCGUAGUUCGGAGUUCCCUCGAUCGGGGCCGCCCGCGGCGGGUGCCAGGCCCAUUCGGUGCGGACGGCGAGCGACGGUCUUCGAUCCGAGAGUCGGGUUGCUUGGGAACGCAGCCCAAAUCGGGUGGUAAGCUCCAUCCAAGGCUAAAUACCGGGACGAGUCCGAUAGUCGACAAGUACCGUGAGGGAAAGUUGAAAAGAACUUUGGAGAGAGAGUUCAAGAGAACGUGAAACCGCCCAGGGGUAAACGGGUGGGACCGUUCACCGCGAUCGCGGGGGGACUCAGUCCGGCGCUUCACAGGCUGAUUCGUACGUCGAUUCUUCGGAUGCGCUUUUGCGCUCGUGUCGCUGACGGAGGGGCAACUCUCUCGCUCGGCAUUAAUGGCGCGGGCGCUUCGGCACGGCGUCUUCUCGGUCGGUUCCGGACGCACUUCCCCUCCGGUCCGUCGUCGCGACCCGUUCCCGGCGUGCAGGUCGACGCGCGGUGUCGUAGGCGGAAGUCGAACUUAAACUUCGUCCUUCGGGUCGGAGUCGUCUUCUGUCGGGCCCGCGACCGUACUGCCCCUUUCUGCCGGGGACGGAGGAACUACCCAUCACACGUGGCGAGCCGAUCCUUUCUCGUUUGGCGUCCUGCGCGACCUUACCUUCGCCCCACCGUCUUGGGCGCGCGCGGGAAAGAUUCGAGUCUCGGGAUCGGCGCGGCCGCGUCGACCACUCCGCUGGCCCUCGGCUUUCGGGCUUCGGUCCGUUCGCUGGGACGCCGGCGCUGUUGCUCGGCGCCGCUUUACUUUGCCGCCCGCCACUUCGGGUCUGCGACGUGCAUCGGCAACCCACCCGACCCGUCUUGUAACACGGACCGAGGAGUCCUGGCCGUUCGCGAGUCGUAGGGGCCCGUUACAAACCCCGGAGGCGUAGCGAAAGCGAGAGAGCGUGUUGGAGGGCACCGGAUUUGGAGAGGUGUUUCUGCUUCGGCGGUUCCCGAUCCUGCUGGCGCGACGAGUACUCGUACUUUCCGUCGACCGCCCCGCGUUCGCUGUCAUCGCCGUAGUCGUCGGAUUUUCCCGUUCGCGGGAGAUGAUGUUUGUGGCUGCGGCGGGCGUGCGUGCGGGUUGUGCUCGGCGGCGUCACUUUCCUCCUUCCGCCCACCGGUGAGAUCCUGCGGACACCAGUCACGCGGGCGCAUCACCCCCGGGUCGAUUUCCGACCACGAGUCGGUCGACUCAGGCGUAGCGAGCGACCAGGGACCCGAAAGAUGGCGAUCCACGCCCGGUCGGGAUGAAGCCAGAGGAAACUCUGGUGGAAGUCCGAAGCGCCUCUGACGUGCAAAUCGAUCGUCGGAACCGGGUGUAGGGGCGAAAGACCAAUCGAGCCGUCUAGUAGCUGGUUCCCUCCGAAGUUUCCCUCAGGAUAGCUGGCGCUCGAUCGUCGCAAUUCCAUCCGGUAAAGCGAACGAUUGGAGGCCCCGGGGACGUUCACGUCCUCGACCUACUCUCGAACUCGGAACGGGUGGAACGGGUCGACUCUCCCGAAUAACUCACGGAGCCGACCCAUGUCCCCGUCGCUCCGGUGACGGCGGACCCUCGAAUGCGAGUGCCAAGUGGGCCACUUUUGGUAAGCAGAACUGGCGCUGUGGGAUGAACCAAACGUCCGGCUAAGGUGCCUAACGCGACGCCCAUGAGAUCCCCGAAAGGGUGUCGGUCGAUAUAGACAGCAGGACGGUGGCCACGGAAGU
rnacentral:rRNA from 1 species